AUCGAACGCUGGCGGCAGGCCUAACACAUGCAAGUCGAACGAGUGGCGGACGGGUGAGUAAUGUCUGGGAAACCGCCUGAUGGAGGGGGAUUACUAUUGGAGACGGUAGCUAAUACCGCAUACAAUCAGAUGUGCCCAGAUUGGAUUAACUUGUUGGUGGGGUAAAGGCUCACCAAGGCGACGGUCCCUAGCUGAUCUGAGAGGAUGACCAGCCACACUGGGACUGAGACACGGUCCAGACUCCUACGGGAGGCAGCAGUAGGGAAUAUUGCACAAUGGGCGAAAGCCUGAUGCAGCCACGCCGCGUGAGUGAAGAAGGCCUUCGGAUUGUAAAGUUCUUUCAGCGGGGAAGCGUUAACCGCAGAAGAAGCACCGGCUAACUACGUGCCAGCAGCCGCGGUAAUAC
rnacentral:rRNA from 1 species